rnacentral:rRNA from 1 species
GACAGAGGGUGCAAGCGUUGUUCGGAAUUACUGGGCGUAAAGGCGUGUAGGCGGCCACCGCAAGUCGGUUGUGAAAUCUCCGGGCUUAACCCGGAAAGGUCAACCGAUACUGCGGGGCUAGAGUGCAGAAGGGCAACUGGAAUUCUCGGUGUAGCGGUGAAUGCGUAGAUAUCGAGAGGAACACCUGCGGCGAAGGCGGGUUGCUGGGCUGACACUGACGCUGAAACGCGAAGCUAGGGAGCGAACGGG